GACGAACGCUGGCGGCGUGCUUAACACAUGCAAGUCGAACGGAAAGGCCCUGCUUUUGUGGGGUGCUCGAGUGGCGAACUGGUGAGUAACACGUGAGUAACCUGCACUUGACUUUGGGAUAACUUCAGGAAACUGGGGCUAAUACCGGAUAGGAGCUCCUGCUGCAUGGUGGGGGUUGGAAAGUUUCGGCGGUUGGGGAUGAACUCGCGGCUUAUCAGCUUGUUGGUGGGGUAGUGGCUUACCAAGGCUUUGACGGGUAGCCGGCCUGAGAGGGUGACCGGCCACAUUGGGACUGAGAUACGGCCCAGACUCCUACGGGAGGCAGCAGUGGGGAAUAUUGCACAAUGGGCGGAAGCCUGAUGCAGCAACGCCGCGUGCGGGAUGACGGCCUUCGGGUUGUAAACCGCUUUCGCCUGUGACGAAGCGUGAGUGACGGUAAUGGGUAAAGAAGCACCGGCUAACUACGUG
rnacentral:rRNA from 1 species